GCCUGGGUGGCUCAGUUGGUUCAGCGUCUGACUUCGGCUCAGGUCGUAAUCUCAUGGUUCGUGAGUUCGAGCCCCGCGUCGGGCU
rnacentral:tRNA from 1 species